UGGAUCCAGACUUUGAUCAUGGCUCAGGAUGAACGCUAGCUACAGGCUUAACACAUGCAAGUCGAGGGGAAACGAUAUUGGAAGCUUGCUUCCGAUAGGCGUCGACCGGCGCACGGGUGAGUAACGCGUAUCCAACCUGCCCAUCACUUGGGGAUAACCUUGCGAAAGUAAGACUAAUACCCAAUGACGUCUCUAGAAGACAUCUGAAAGAGAUUAAAGAUUUAUCGGUGAUGGAUGGGGAUGCGUCUGAUUAGCUUGUUGGCGGGGUAACGGCCCACCAAGGCAACGAUCAGUAGGGGUUCUGAGAGGAAGGUCCCCCACAUUGGAACUGAGACACGGUCCAAACUCCUACGGGAGGCAGCAGUGAGGAAUAUUGGUCAAUGGACGAGAGUCUGAACCAGCCAAGUAGCGUGCAGGAUGACGGCCCUAUGGGUUGUAAACUGCUUUUAUAAGGGAAUAAAGUGGGAGUCGUGACUCCUUUUGCAUGUACCUUAUGAAUAAGGACUGGCUAAUUCCGUGCCAGCAGCCGCGGUAAUACGGAAGGUCCGGGCGUUAUCCGGAUUUAUUGGGUUUAAAGGGAGCGUAGGCCGGAGAUUAAGCGUGUUGUGAAAUGUAGAUGCUCAACAUCUGCACUGCAGCGCGAACUGGUUUCCUUGAGUACGCACAAAGUGGGCGGAAUUCGUGGUGUAGCGGUGAAAUGCUUAGAUAUCACGAAGAACUCCGAUUGCGAAGGCAGCUCACUGGAGCGCAACUGACGCUGAAGCCCGAAAGUGCGGGUAUCGAACAGGAUUAGAUACCCUGGUAGUCCGCACGGUAAACGAUGGAUGCCCGCUGUUGGUCUGAAUAGGUCAGCGGCCAAGCGAAAGCAUUAAGCAUCCCACCUGGGGAGUACGCCGGCAACGGCAACUCAAAGGAAUUGACGGA
rnacentral:rRNA from 1 species